AGUUUGAUCCUGGCUCAGGAUGAACGCUAGCGGCAGGCUUAACACAUGCAAGUCGAGGGGCAGCGAGAUCAGUGCUUGCACUGAUUGUCGGCGACCGGCGCACGGGUGCGUAACGCGUAUGCAACCUACCCAUUACAGGGGGAUAACACUGAGAAAUCGGUACUAAUACCCCAUAACAUCCAGGGAGGCAUCUUCUUGGGUUGAAAACUCCGGUGGUAAUGGAUGGGCAUGCGUUGUAUUAGUUAGUUGGUGGGGUAACGGCUCACCAAGACAACGAUACAUAGGGGGACUGAGAGGUUAACCCCCCACAUUGGUACUGAGACACGGACCAAACUCCUACGGGAGGCAGCAGUGAGGAAUAUUGGUCAAUGGACGCAAGUCUGAACCAGCCAUGCCGCGUGCAGGAAGACGGCUCUAUGAGUUGUAAACUGCUUUUGUACGAGGGUAAACGCAGAUACGCGUAUCUGUCUGAAAGUAUCGUACGAAUAAGGAUCGGCUAACUCCGUGCCAGCAGCCGCGGUAAUACGGAGGAUUCAAGCGUUAUCCGGAUUUAUUGGGUUUAAAGGGUGCGUAGGCGGUCGGAUAAGUUAGAGGUGAAAUCCCGGGGCUCAACUUCGGAAUUGCCUCUGAUACUGUUCGGCUAGAGAGUAGUUGCGGUAGGCGGAAUGUAUGGUGUAGCGGUGAAAUGCUUAGAGAUCAUACAGAACACCGAUUGCGAAGGCAGCUUACCAAGCUACUUCUGACGUUGAGGCACGAAAGCGUGGGGAGCAAACAGGAUUAGAUACCCUGGUAGUCCACGCAGUAAACGAUGAUAACUCGUUGUCGGCGAUACAGUGUCGGUGACUAACCGAAAGCG
rnacentral:rRNA from 1 species